rnacentral:rRNA from 1 species
UUKAAGCGAGGAGGAGGCUACUAGUAUUAAUACUACUGGAUAGUGGACGUUACUCGCAGAAUAAGCACCGGCUAACUCUGUGCCAGCAGCCGCGGUAAUACAGAGGGUGCGAGCGUUAAUCGGAUUUACUGGGCGUAAAGCGUGCGUAGGCGGCUGAUUAAGUCGGAUGUGAAAUCCCUGAGCUUAACUUAGGAAUUGCAUUCGAUACUGGUCAGCUAGAGUAUGGGAGAGGAUGGUAGAAUAAGGCGAAUUCGCGGCCGCUAAAUU